CCUACGGGGGGCUGCAGUGGGGAAUAUUGCGCAAUGGGCGAAAGCCUGACGCAGCGACGCCGCGUGGGUGAUGAAGGCCUUCGGGUUGUAAAGCCCUGUCGGGUGGAACGAACGAUCUGGCGUCGAAUAACCGCCGGGUGUGACGGUACCACCGAAGGAAGCCCCGGCUAACUACGUGCCAGCAGCCGCGGUAAGACGUAGGGGGCGAGCGUGGUUCGGAUUUACGUAGGGUGAAGCGCGCGUAGGCGGCGAAAUCCCUGGGCUUAACCGAGGUCCGGCAUCCGAUACUGUCUGGCUCGAGUAUAGGAGAGGAAAGCGGAAUUCCCAGUGUAGCGGUGAAAUGCGUAGAUAUUGGGAGGAACACCGGUGGCGAAGGCGGCUUUCCGGACUAGUACUGACGCUGAGGCGCGAAAGCUAGGGGAGCGAACGGGAUUAGAUACCCCUGUAGUC
rnacentral:rRNA from 1 species